rnacentral:lncRNA from 1 species
UGAUCCUUGCUUGGAUGAGGAUCCGUCGACGUGAAGGAGCCAGGUUGAAUUUGUUUCCUUGUUGGUCACGGUCCCCAUUGGUAGUUCAACUAAGAAGUCUGUGAGUACUUGGGAUUUCACACUUGUUCUCGGUCGGUAUUCGAUAUCGUACUCGCUCAACUCGACGAUCGUCCGCAGGGGGAAGGUCGUGAGGAUGACGAUCAUGUGGGAUUGGAAAUACGGUCUUAGCUUUCGCGCCGAUGUUAUGACUGUGUAUGCUAGUUUUUUCAUCAGCGGAUACCUUGAUUCAGCAUCUAGCAAGGUUUUGCUUAUGUAAAA